AGAGAGAGACAUGCGCGCAUAUCAAUAACGGAGGAAAAGAAAACUAACAAGGAUUCCCUUAGUAACGGCGAGUGAAGCGGGAAGAGCUCAAAUUUGAAAUCUUCAAGGUUCUACCUUGACGAAUUGUAGUUUAUAGAAGUGUUUUCUGUUAGUGGAGUGGCAAAAGUUCUUUGGAAUAGGACAUCAUAGAGGGUGAGAAUCCCGUAUUUGGUCAUUCCUCCUAGCGUUGUGAUACACUUUCAACGAGUCGGAUUGUUUGGGAAUGCAGUCCAAAAUGGGUGGUAAAUUUCAUCUAAAGCUAAAUAUUGGCGAGAGACCGAUAGCGAACAAGUACCGUGAGGGAAAGAUGAAAAGAACUUUGAAAAGAGAGUUAAACAGUACGUGAAAUUGUCAAAAGGGAAGCGUUUGACACCAGUGUUGUUUUUCCGAAAAUCAAUUACGAAUGUUUUGUUUUUGAGGAGUUAUGACUUCAUCGACUUGCUUCUUUCUUUACGAAACUUUCUUAAUGCACUUUUCGGUUAACAAGUCAACAUCAAUUUCUUUUGUUGUAAAAGGGUAUGAGGAAGGUGGCUUUCUUUUCGGAGAAAGUGUUCAUAGCCUUGUACCUCUGCAAUCGGAGAGAUUGAGGUCUGCAGCGUAGAUCCUUCGGGGUUAGAUACAUUUGUGCUAAGUUAUAGCUUUUCAUAGACAACUUGUUGACUAUGUUUAGUCUUGUAGCUUACUCGCUUAUGCUAUUUUACCUACGCUUAGGAUGUUGAUCUGUAGUGCGUGCGC
rnacentral:rRNA from 1 species